rnacentral:tRNA from 1 species
GCAGGCGUAGCUCAGUCGGUAGAGCUUUAUCGCGCAAAUGGAUAUGCGAUUGAAUGCCAUUGGUCGCUGGUUCGAGUCCAGCCGUCUGCACCA